rnacentral:rRNA from 1 species
UACAGAGGUGGCAAGCGUUGUUCGGAAUUACUGGGCGUAAAGGGCGAGUAGGUGGCCAUCUAAGUCAGACGUGAAAUCCCCCGGCUUAACCUGGGAACUGCGUCUGAUGCUGGACGGCUUGAGUAUGGGAGAGGAACGUAGAAUUCCAGGUGUAGCGGUGAAAUGCGUAGAUAUCUGGAGGAAUACCGGUGGCGAAGGCGGCGUUCUGGACCAUUACUGACACUGAAUCGCGAAAGCUAGGGGAGCAAACGGG